GGUUUGCGCCGGGGGAAGUGGGCGCUAGGCCCCGGCUGUGCUCGGCGCUGCACAGAACAAGGAGACCCCCCCCGGCCGGCGGCUCCGGGUCCCGGGGACCCCCCCGAUCCAGGGCUCAGCUCCGCUCUGUAUGACCCGUAGCUAAAUCGCUGUUCUCACACACCCGUCAGAGCUUCCAGCAUUGCCGCAGCAGCCCCACUGCGGAGCGGCUCGUGCCGGGGCUGGACCCAGCGAUCUCCGGGUCAUCGAGCCGAGCGGGCUGCCGGAGACACCUGCCGUCACCGCGGACCUAGAUCAGCCCUGAGAGCACGUCUCCCCUCUGCUGCAGCAGGAUGGCUGACGUCCCUGCAGGGUGCCCUCGGCAUGGAGUUCCCGUGACAACGAGAUGCAGCUUUCCAGGGCCACAGAUUCCUUGCAAGAUGAGGGGGCAGGGAUCACUCACCCUGCUGCUGAAAUGCAGCCACCUCUGGGGUGGGAUGCACCAGAGAGGAUGUUGCCGCAAACCCUGCUGCAUGGAUGCUCAACUCCCAGGAAGCAGACAGGGCUCAAGGAAUGUGAGAGCAGCAUCUGUCACCAGUUCACAGCGGCGAACACUUUUGUCUGGCUCUCGGGACCCUGGCAUGAGCUGAGGGAGACCGGACGGACGGCAGCUGCAAUUCUGCCAUCAGCAGCCAGACAGCCAGGAAAACAGGAAUGAAUGGAUUGGGGGGGGGGGGGAAGAGGAGGUGCAAUAAAAGCCCUGACCACUGGGUGGUGCCCUCGUUCUGUACACAGGCCAGCCAGAGAUAAUGGGGGGGGGUGCGAUACCCCCCACCAGCCACUGCCCUUGCUGCAGGCCUUAAACAGCCUGAAGAGGGGGAGUUGCAAUACAAGCUCUGGCCACUGGGGGGCACCCGUGGUGUGCAAUGUUGAGCUGGGAAUUCACGGCUAGGAGAGGUGUGAUUAUUCCCCCCCCCCCCCCCAUGGCUCCCAUCCCCUACAGGGGAUCCCAGUACAGCACACAGCCCCCUCCACACAGGUGUCCGUUAGAGCCACAUUCAUCUCAAACCCCUUGUGACAGUGUACCCCGUGAGGCUUUAUGGGGGGUGCUUAUAAAGGUAUAUGAUGUAACUGGAA